CCCGGAGGAAGAGAAAGAAAAUUCGAUUCCCUUAGUAGCGGCGAGCGAAACGGGAAGAGCCCAAACCAACAAGCUUGCUUGUUGGGGUUGUAGGACACUCUAUACGGAGUUACAAAGGACGACAUUAGACGAAUCAUCUGGAAAGAUGAAUCAAAGAAGGUAAUAAUCCUGUAGUCGAAAAUGUUGUCUCUCUUGAGUGGAUCCUGAGUACGACGGAGCACGUGAAAUUCCGUCGGAAUCUGGGAGGACCAUCUCCUAAGGCUAAAUACUCUCUAGUGACCGAUAGUGAACCAGUACCGUGAGGGAAAGGUGAAAAGCACCCCGGAAGGGGAGUGAAAUAGAACCUGAAACCGUGUGCUUACAAGUAGUCAGAGCCCGUUAAUGGGUGAUGGCGUGCCUUUUGUAGAAUGAACCGGCGAGUUACGAUUUGAUGCAAGGUUAAGCAGUAAAUGUGGAGCCGUAGCGAAAGCGAGUCUGAAUAGGGCGUUUAGUAUUUGGUCGUAGACCCGAAACCAGGUGAUCUACCCUUGGUCAGGUUGAAGUUCAGGUAACACUGAAUGGAGGACCGAACCGACUUACGUUGAAAAGUGAGCGGAUGAACUGAGGGUAGCGGAGAAAUUCCAAUCGAACCUGGAGAUAGCUGGUUCUCUCCGAAAUAGCUUUAGGGCUAGCCUCAAGUGAUGAUUAUUGGAGGUAGAGCACUGUUUGGACGAGGGGCCCCUCUCGGGUUACCGAAUUCAGACAAACUCCGAAUGCCAAUUAAUUUAACUUGGGAGUCAGAACAUGGGUGAUAAGGUCCGUGUUCGAAAGGGAAACAGCCCAGACCACCAGCUAAGGUCCCAAAAUAUAUGUUAAGUGGAAAAGGAUGUGGCGUUGCCCAGACAACUAGGAUGUUGGCUUAGAAGCAGCCAUCAUUUAAAGAGUGCGUAAUAGCUCACUAGUCGAGUGACACUGCGCCGAAAAUGUACCGGGGCUAAACAUAUUACCGAAGCUGUGGAUUGUCCUUUGGACAAUGGUAGGAGAGCGUUCUAAGGGCGUUGAAGCAUGAUCGUAAGGACAUGUGGAGCGCUUAGAAGUGAGAAUGCCGGUGUGAGUAGCGAAAGACGGGUGAGAAUCCCGUCCACCGAUUGACUAAGGUUUCCAGAGGAAGGCUCGUCCGCUCUGGGUUAGUCGGGUCCUAAGCUGAGGCCGACAGGCGUAGGCGAUGGAUAACAGGUUGAUAUUCCUGUACCACCUAUAAUCGUUUUAAUCGAUGGGGGGACGCAGUAGGAUAGGCGAAGCGUGCGAUUGGAUUGCACGUCUAAGCAGUAAGGCUGAGUAUUAGGCAAAUCCGGUACUCGUUAAGGCUGAGCUGUGAUGGGGAGAAGACAUUGUGUCUUCGAGUCGUUGAUUUCACACUGCCGAGAAAAGCCUCUAGAUAGAAAAUAGGUGCCCGUACCGCAAACCGACACAGGUAGUCAAGAUGAGAAUUCUAAGGUGAGCGAGCGAACUCUCGUUAAGGAACUCGGCAAAAUGACCCCGUAACUUCGGGAGAAGGGGUGCUCUUUAGGGUUAACGCCCAGAAGAGCCGCAGUGAAUAGGCCCAAGCGACUGUUUAUCAAAAACACAGGUCUCUGCUAAACCGUAAGGUGAUGUAUAGGGGCUGACGCCUGCCCGGUGCUGGAAGGUUAAGAGGAGUGGUUAGCUUCUGCGAAGCUACGAAUCGAAGCCCCAGUAAACGGCGGCCGUAACUAUAACGGUCCUAAGGUAGCGAAAUUCCUUGUCGGGUAAGUUCCGACCCGCACGAAAGGCGUAACGAUUUGGGCACUGUCUCAACGAGAGACUCGGUGAAAUCAUAGUACCUGUGAAGAUGCAGGUUACCCGCGACAGGACGGAAAGACCCCGUGGAGCUUUACUGUAGCCUGAUAUUGAAAUUCGGCACAGCUUGUACAGGAUAGGUAGGAGCCUUUGAAACGUGAGCGCUAGCUUACGUGGAGGCGCUGGUGGGAUACUACCCUAGCUGUGUUGGCUUUCUAACCCGCACCACUUAUCGUGGUGGGAGACAGUGUCAGGCGGGCAGUUUGACUGGGGCGGUCGCCUCCUAAAAGGUAACGGAGGCGCUCAAAGGUUCCCUCAGAAUGGUUGGAAAUCAUUCAUAGAGUGUAAAGGCAUAAGGGAGCUUGACUGCGAGACCUACAAGUCGAGCAGGGUCGAAAGACGGACUUAGUGAUCCGGUGGUUCCGCAUGGAAGGGCCAUCGCUCAACGGAUAAAAGCUACCCCGGGGAUAACAGGCUUAUCUCCCCCAAGAGUUCACAUCGACGGGGAGGUUUGGCACCUCGAUGUCGGCUCAUCGCAUCCUGGGGCUGUAGUCGGUCCCAAGGGUUGGGCUGUUCGCCCAUUAAAGCGGUACGCGAGCUGGGUUCAGAACGUCGUGAGACAGUUCGGUCCCUAUCCGUCGUGGGCGUAGGAAAUUUGAGAGGAGCUGUCCUUAGUACGAGAGGACCGGGAUGGACAUACCUCUGGUGUACCAGUUGUCGUGCCAACGGCAUAGCUGGGUAGCUAUGUGUGGACGGGAUAAGUGCUGAAAGCAUCUAAGCAUGAAGCCCCCCUCAAGAUGAGAUUUCCCAACUUCGGUUAUAAGAUCCCUCAAAGAUGAUGAGGUUAAUAGGUUCGAGGUGGAAGCAUGGUGACAUGUGGAGCUGACGAAUACUAAUCGAUCGAAGACUUAAUCAA
rnacentral:rRNA from 1 species